CCCAGACUCCUACGGGAGGCAGCAGUGGGGAAUAUUGGACAAUGGGGGGAACCCUGAUCCAGCGACGCCGCGUGAGUGAAGAAGUAUUUCGGUAUGUAAAGCUCUAUCAGCAGGGAAGAAAGAAAUGACGGUACCUGACUAAGAAGCCCCGGCUAACUACGUGCCAGCAGCCGCGGUAAUACGUAGGGGGCAAGCGUUAUCCGGAUUUACUGGGUGUAAAGGGGGCGCAGACGGCAGCGCAAGCCAGGAGUGAAAGCCCGGGGCCCAACCCCGGGACUGCUCUUGGAACUGCGCGGCUGGAGUGCAGGAGGGGCAGGCGGAAUUCCUGGUGUAGCGGUGAAAUGCGUAGAUAUCAGGAGGAACACCGGUGGCGAAGGCGGCCUGCUGGACUGCGACUGACGUUGAGGCCCGAAAGCGUGGGGAGCACACAGGAUUAGAUACCCCAGUAA
rnacentral:rRNA from 1 species